rnacentral:lncRNA from 1 species
CUCUUUCAGUUCUACAGGGAGGAAUAAAGGACCCCAAAGAGGAGCUCCGUUGGGGGGUCCUUUCAGAUCUUGUGAAAGGCAGCCUCUGGCCCUGAAUAGGGGUAGGGAACAAAUAUGUCCAACAGAAGGGAAUUCCUGGCAGUUUAUUGGGUCCCCAGAAGGUCACUACAUCUCUCUUCUUUUGCUGGUGGGGCAUGAGAAGCCCUGAGGUCCUAGUGGGUGCCAGCCCUUAGGAUAAAGUAGAGAAGAAAGUGGAGUGAAAGAGAUCUCCUGAAGCUUAGCUGUGCCCUUCUCCUUCCUUUUUCCUCAGGCCCUCAAGAUUGCCUUUUCAGAUAUGUCGUGCUUCCACCUGGACCUUUCCCCAUUGUCUCAUGCGAAUGGAAGCUCAGCAGCAGCACAUCAAUCCACCAUUACGCUUCUCUACCACAAAGCUCCAGCCCUACCCUGCAGACCCUGGAAAGCAGCCGCAGAGAAGUCUUUGAUCAAGACAGAGUCGUUCAAACUUUGGUCCUUGGUCCACAGGCCUCCAAACCCGAGUCUGAGACCAUUCACCACUCCAUCAUGGAUCUCCAAAGGCAUUGGUCUCUUCCACAGACUUCCAUCUGAAGAGUUCCUGGAGUCUGUGAGUUUCUGUCUUUCCAUCUUUCUGUCUCUCUGUCCUUGCCGUCCCCUCUAACCCAAGAUCCCCUGGGGCUUCUCCUCCCAGAGUGCCCUUGGCCAUUCUCCCC